rnacentral:lncRNA from 1 species
CCAGGACCUGGCAUUGCCCCAGCUCAUGCUGGGCUCCCCCGGAUGGCAUGGGGGGCUCAGAGAAUCUGAGUCAGUGAGGUAGGGGGAACUCAGGUCAGCUGGGGCCAAUGCAAAAGGCAGGGACGGGGGUGCAGAAAGAGACUGAUUGUGGGGACUGCAGCCUGGUGGCCCGCACUGCUGUCCUGCCUUCUCUACCUCCAGUGGCCAAGCUCUGUCACUUUUCCCAGGGGGCAGCCUGGGGAAGCCCCCCCACUAACCAUGCCCUGCCCUCCUUGAGCUGGAGCAGCCAUCCCUGACCCAGCCAGCACCACCAGAGUCUGCUGCCUAAAGGCUGGGAGAGACGGCCAACCUCCUGGCACGGACCCCCAUUGUGACUCCAGGCCCGGUGCCCACCUGAGGCUGCUGCGGACUGAGUGCCCACGAGCGAACAGCACCCACUCUUCGGCAGCCAUCAGCCCGAGCCCCGCCACCGCACGCUCACUCGAGGGUGUGGAUUCUGCCUUCUGCUGAGCUCCCGCUCGGUCUCACGGGGCGCUGACCCCGCCUGCCAUGCUCAGCCCUCCGCCCGCUUUCGCUGCCUGGCCGGUUUCCACGUGUCUCCGGACGGCCCUCCGCAUGCAUUUACGAACGAAGUCACUCAUUAGCAGGCAAAAAGGACAUCCCUGGCAUCUCUCCUCUCUCGGGGUGACGGGCACCCAGAUAAUCAAAGGGCACGGGCCCCUCCUCCUUGACUCCAAGCCCGGCACACUUCCCUUCUCCCGGUAAGGUGACCACAACGAACAAUCCCCUUUAUAAAAGGCAGCGUUGGAGAAUGCGG